UUUUUCACCUGGUUGAUCCUGCCAGUAGUCAUAUGCUUGUCUCAAAGAUUAAGCCAUGCAUGUCUGAGUUUAAGCUAAUUUUUGGUGAAACUGCGAAUGGCUCAUUAUAUCAGUUAUAAUAUGCUCAAUAACAUUAGCUUACAUGGAUAACUGUGGUAAUUCUAGAGCUAAUACAUGCACACACACCUGACCCUCAAGUAUGGUUGUGUUUAUUGACUUCAAAACCAACUCAAGCUCUGCUUGAUGCGUUGUAUGACUGAUGAUAAAUUAAUGAAUUGCGUGGCGCAUGCUGGCAAUGAAUUGUUUUAGUUUCUGACCUAUCAGCUUCCGACGGUAAAGUAUGGGCUUACCGUGGCAGUGACGGGUGACGGAGAAUUAGGGUUUGAUUCCGGAGAGGGAGCCUGAGAAAUGGCUACCACAUCUAAGGAAGGCAGCAGGCGCGCAAAUUACCCAAUCUUGGCAUAGGGAGGUAGUGACAAGAAAUAACAAUACAGGGCAUCCAUGUUUUGUAAUUGGAAUGGACAGAUGUUAACUUUCUCUGUGAGUAUCAAUUGGAGGGCAAGUCUGGUGCCAGCAGCCGCGGUAAUUCCAGCUCCAAUAGCGUAUAUUAAAGUUGUUGCGGUUAAAAAGCUCGUAGUUGGAUCUCGGCAGGCAGGGGGUGGUUCGCUCCUUAGCGCUACUGCCCCAUUUGCCUGUGUGAUUGGCAGAGGUUUCGGGGUGCCCUUUAUUGAGUGACCCGGAGCGCUGUCAGGUUUACUUUGAAAAAAUUAGAGUGCUCAAAGCAGGCUUUUCACGCUUGAAUAUUCGUGCAUGGAAUAAUAGAAUAGGAACUCGUUUCUAUUUUGUUGGUUUUCGGAAAUCGAGUUAAUGAUUAAUAGGGACAAUUGGGGGCAUUAGUAUUCAGACGACAGAGGUGAAAUUCUUGGACCGUCUGAAGACUAACUACUGCGAAAGCAUUUGCCAAGAGUGUUUUCAUUAAUCAAGAACGAAAGUUAGAGGUUCGAAGGCGAUCAGAUACCGCCCUAGUUCUAACCAUAAACGAUGCCAGCUAGCGAUCUGCCGAGUUUUUUUUGUAGGCUCCGCAGGAAGCUUUCGGGAAACCAAAGCUUUUGGGUUCCGGGGGAAGUAUGGUUGCAAAGCUGAAACUUAAAGGAAUUGACGGAAGGGCACCACCAGGAGUGGAGCCUGCGGCUUAAUUUGACUCAACACGGGAAAUCUCACCAGGCCCGGACAC
rnacentral:rRNA from 1 species